GGGGAUGAUUGACUCGACGGAGGAUAUGUACAUUAAAAACUGCAAGCCGACCUUGAUAGGUGGUCGUAAAACAACGAUCAAAAACUAAAUGCUGAUAACGAACAGUUUGAAGCAGCUCUUUGGGCACGACGGCCACUUGCAUUCGCAACGCUUAAUGCCUAAUUAGCCAUCUCAUAGGUGUUUCUCUCGGUGACGCUUUUGAGGUGUAAACAAAGCCGGGACACCAGGAAUCAAUUGACCGAUUGAUUUCGGAGCAAACUACGGUCAACCCUCCGAUGAACUUCAUUUGUCCGUUUAUGACAUCGGAGAAGAAACGGAACACGCUUGUAGACGUUUGCGAUGUAUGCUUCCGGACCCGGGCUCAAUACCCGGCAUCUCCACAA
rnacentral:tmRNA from 1 species